rnacentral:misc_RNA from 1 species
GCAAACUUGGUCAUUUAGAGGAAGUAAAAGUCGUAACAAGGUUUCCGUAGGUGAACCUGCGGAAGGAUCAUUACAAGGUCAAAAGCCGUAAAAACGGCUAAACCUGAUCAUUCACUUUGUGCACUUAUUGAAACUAUGCUUUGGCAGACUUAUUUCGAUAGAAUUUUCGAAGCCUUUGGGUGUUUAAGGACCUCAAAGGGGUCUGCCAGAGUUUUCUGUAAAAUAUAGCCUGAUUUUUUGUCUGAAGUUUUUAAAUAAAACCAAAUACAACUUUCAACAACGGAUCUCUUGGCUCUCGCAUCGAUGAAGAACGCAGC